CCAGCCUCUCGCACCUAAUUGAUUGUUAGCUUAAAUGUGAUUAUUUUCCCUCCUGAAGGCAAGUAGUAAGCCAGCUGUGUGUUUCCUUGUGUCUCAUUUGUUAGGGAGAGUGGAUUCUGAAACCUCUCACAAUCAAAAGAAAUGCUUAUGUUUAAGAACAAAAUAAAUGCUUAUGUUAACAGCAAAGUCACGUUCAGUUGUUCAAAUGGAGGAGAGUGGCAGCUAAAGGAAGGUGGCAAUAUCCAGUUGAAACAUCACUUAUUACCUUUUGGUAUCAUAGAUUAGAGGUGGAAAACACCUACUAUCCAUUUUCUGAGGCUGCCACAGUAAUUCCCUGCGCAGUACACUUUUCAGUAUUGUCUUGGUUUAGCUUCAAGUAUUCUCAGUUACAGAGAAUUCAACAGUUUCUAUUGGGAGUUUGGGCUGUACCCUUGCUGGUUUUGCUGUUAGGAUGUUUCUCUUGAUUUUUCUCGCCUGCAUUUUUAUUUUCUUAACUUUGGGUCACAGCUAAUUAUAGCUUACAGGGUGCAAACAGAAAAGGGGGUGGGGAAGAAGGAAAUCCCCGUUCCAGGGAGAAGAUGGUAGUCAGUGCUUUGAGAUGCACUCACACAGCAGCAGAGAGGGCCAGCAAGCAGCAGAGAAGUGAAGCAAUAGGAAGUGAGGCAGCAGUCAUGAAGAAAGUAGGCAAGGAAGCAGUUACCCUGCAGGGAAGGAAAAAGCAGGACAACUUUCAAGGGCAGAGAUUAAUAUAACUUGGGGGAGGCUGCAAUGACAGGAUUUGGAGAAGAGAAGAACAAAAUUACCAGGAAAAAAUGGCCAAUGGAUGCAGUAGGCAAAGAAUCAAGGAGGAGGCAGAAGAAAAUGGUGGGGCCCAGGCACCUACGUAGCCUGAUUUUCAGAAGUGUGGAGCACAUUCAUUGCUUCUAUGGCUGCUGAGCAACUCUGAAACUUAAGCAUGGUGAAAAGACCUUGUGACACAGCAGAGCUGGUGAGCGUUUGUCACAUGGAGAAAUAAUUUGAGGAGAGUGUACAGGUGUUUCCUGUGUGGCAGAAAUCAUCUCUACAGAGACUCUUGUUUGCGAUUACCCAAGACUUCAAAGAAAAUAGCAAGAUGGAUGUGUAAAAGGUCCUGCCAAUAGCAGGAUCCACCAUCUAUUUCCUAGUUACUAAAACAGACACAGACAUGGCUCCCAGGAAUGUCUAUGAGGAACCACCAUCAAUGGCAGCUCUUCAAAACAGCCCUAGAUGUAAAGGUGAUUCUUCCUUUAUCAUUCCCUGCUGGGUAGCAUCUCUCGUGAGCAUUUCUAGAGUUAGGCCGUACAUUUUUGUAAUACAUUUCUCUCAAUAUCCUGAUUUUUCUUAAAUUGUUCUGCUGCUGACCUGCUGUACUGGAAGGCUCUUACUCUCUAGGUGAAUUUCAUGUUUAGUCUUAGCUGGUAUGCUUCAAACCCAGUCCCUCUCACUCUAGCAUGGUGCUACUAUUUGUUUGCAUCAGUUUUUGUGUCAGAAAUGUCUCCCGCAAAGUGACAUCUACAAUUUCCUCUAAUUUUUUUUUUUUUUUGGUUUUGUGGCACUCAGUCCCAUUUUUUUCAGAGCAAGCUGUAUACAAUGAGACUGUACUUUUCAGAGGUGCUGAGUAACCCAUUCUGACCUGAAAUGCUUUUUUACACAUCCAAAAAUGGGAUGCUGAGAAGUACUGAGAAAUCUGCGGCUGGAAAAUGGGGAGUCAGGAAGCUGGUGUGCUUUGCAAAUUCUGUAUCCAUGUCUUCCCUCCUCAGACCUUCAGUGCAGAACAGGCACUGCCAGGUGGCUGCAGAGGAGCUGAUCUGUCAGGCAGGCGCUCUCACUGUGCCCUGGGCUUGGGUGGGAGGACCCGUGCACAGACCUGUGACCUGAAGCACAGCCCUUUUGCGGGAGAGAAAAGAGUACAGCCUUGGGCAAUGAAACCUAAUUUCACUUCAAGGAGUGCUAGUUAAUAGGAACUCGGAGAAAGCAGGAUUAUACCACAGUGACUGUUUCCAGUGAAGUACGAAAUGUCUGCAUCUCUCAUGGUCCAGUCACUGCAGAGCCUCUCCCGUGGGUGUUGGCUGACUUACAGUGAAUUAAGAUAAGGGGAGCUGGGUGGGUAAUUAAGGCUUUUGCAUGCAUGUUUUGAAACAGGAUCCAGUAAAUUCACGGCUAAAAUUUUGAAAAAAAAAGCAGAGUAGGUUAAACAUUUUAAGUCCAUCGUGUUCUUACUUGCAAGAUGCAAAUCUUCCUAGCUCUUGCUGUAGCAUCUCACUGGAAAAGGGGCUAUAAAUUGUAAAAUAUUUUACUUUUGUUGUUUGGGACAGGACAAAAAGCAGGGGAAUAUGUUUAAUGAACAUUCUUCUUGUUCAAAGCAUUUCAGUAGCUCAGCUCUGAUAUUGUUUCAAAAGCGUUUUCUCAAGGCCCUCCAGCACAUGGCGUUACGAAAAAAAAAGUUGUCAGACUGGUUUUAACACAUCUUUUCAAUACUGAUAAGCAAAAGUUCACUGAAAUAAUUCCCAAUAAGAUACAUGCGGGGAUACACCUUUCUUAAGGCUUUAUUGUUGGAUUCAAACUUUAGGGAGACCUGUUGCAUUCCAGACUUAAGCAGCCUCUUUCAAAGUAAUUAGAAAAGUACAAGGAUGCGUCAGAUGCUGUGCUGAGGAGCGCCUAUGUCACAUCCUGUUACUCGUGUCUGCCUUUAAACCUGUUUCGUAAGUGCAGUGAGUGACUGACAGUCUUCAGCUGCAAACAUCUUUGAAACUACAUGAGCUGAGUUCCAAAAGAAAACACUGCUGUAUUUUGGUUGCUAGAGGUAAAACACUCGAUAAGUAGCUAGUUUUUCUUAAUUAAGCAAACGAUUUAAUCUUGAAGCUACUUUGCUUAACAAUGUCAUCAUUAAAAUGGUAAUGGGCUUUGAGGUCCUUAUUCAGCUUGGUAUGGCAUCCUACCUUUGCUGCUAUUGUUUCAGCCGGUUCACACAUAAGUUUCUGAAACUCAGCCUGGUAAGAGGAAGAUACUAACCAAGGAACUAAAGCUCAAAAAUAGCAUGUGGCCAAAUCUUUGAGUCUAUCUUAAUAAGGUCCUAUCCUCCCCUUGAAGCCACUUUAGUAGGAUGCAAAAUGGUUCCUCUGCUAGGUAGAAGCAAAAUAUAUUUUACUCUAAGUAGAGCUAAUAUAUUUUUUAAUAUUAUUAUGAUCUAUUUUGGAAAUUAUACUUUUAAAAGCCAGGACGUGCUAAAAUUACUCAGAAAAUAAGUAUUUUACUAAACUAUGCACACUAACUUGCUAUAACAUGAUUUGGUAAAAAUUAAUACAUCUUUUCUUCUAUCUAAUAACCAUGGGACUCAGCUGAACACAGCUAGAAAAAGCCCUAUUUAAAUAGUGGGGUUUUUCCCCCCUCCUGAUCUUCCAGUGUACAAAGCAAGUUAAAGCAAAAACAAAGCAAAAAUACCUUGGCAGAUGGACUUAGCUAUCAAACCUGGAACUUUCCCAUGCUUCUUUUUCCACACUUGUGCAUUAACUACCAGCCUCUCACUGCAGACUAAGCUCAUGCCCAAAUGUUGGCAAUAGAGGUCUAGAGUCUGAGAUGCUGUUUAAAGCAGCCACAGUUUAAGGUCAAAUUCUGUGUUAUACCUAAGCUGUGCUUCAUGCUUUGUCACAUAAUCUGGUCCUUCUGGGGACCUUUAACACAUCCCUGCAGAUUUAGAGUGGCAUCAAGGUCCCUGUCAUUUACCCUUGAACAGAAAGGCCUUUGCCAGAGCCAAGAAAAACUAGAAAGCAGCAACUUUCUGGCCACACCUCCUUCCUCACACAUCAUCCCUACAGAAAGGGGCGGGGGGAAUGGAUAGGAAACACCAUGCUCCUGCACAGAGCACAGGAGGAUUUUCACAUUUCCAUAAGGCUUAGCGUGCCCUUUGCUUGGCCAGAGGGGUAUAAACAGGGCCCCAGACUAACAACAAAACCAGAUCCUCCCUGCCAGUAAGGGAAGGAAUGGUUGGUAGCACAAGUGCUUAUUCUAUAAUGUUUAAUUUUCCCAGCUCACUGGCUUGCCUCAACACACAGGGAAAAUAUGCUGGCAAUAGGUGGGACCAUCAAAACUUUCUGUGGGAGUCCCCAAAGAGAAAGUUUCUAACCUGGCAUUUUCACUGACAAUGACAGAGACUCGUGGGAUGCCCCUGCCCCGAUCUGCAAGACAGCUCAAUGACAGAGGCCAUGGCAAGCAGAUGGGAGGAAAGACUGUCCACUGACUGCUCUGCA